rnacentral:ncRNA from 2 species
UAUACACGCUAGGGGUGCGGUUCACGCUGAGAGGAUUCAGUCCAACCCUUAGAACCUGAUCCGGGUAAUACCGGCGAAGGGAAGCGGCGCGACAAAAAG